rnacentral:lncRNA from 1 species
CAUUUUGUAUACAAAAUCAUUAUUACUCGGAUUAAUUUGAAAUUUAUGUCUCAGCUUGAGUUCUUUUCAGUUUUGGUAUAAAUAGUUCGUAGAAAUUUUGAUACUUCACUAUUAGUCACAGUCACAGUAGGGAAAAAGUCACUAGUGAGUCACCAGAGAAACAUCAUGUAGGGACAGUAACAUCAUAGUCACUUAGGUGACCAUCCAGUAACGACAGUAAGUGAAUUCCAGAAACAGAGUAACUAAAAGUCAAGUGGGAGAAAAGAAGUCAGCUUCACAACUGUAACCAAACAGUUCGCUCUUCAGUAUCCAACCGGCGCG